rnacentral:lncRNA from 1 species
AUUUCACAGAUUCCCCAAUUAUAUCUGAAAACACUACUAAAUUUCACAAAUGACUUCUCAUACAAAAUUCCUUCCUGUCUUCAAAAGAAGAGGCAGCCAGAGAAGGGGCUGGUAGUCCAUAAAGGACAGACCGCCCGAAGGGAGAACAGAAACGAAUGAAACACAGAACACACAGCGUUGGAAAACCCGCUCAAAUGAAUCUUGUGCUAAUGUCUGAGAUGGUGCGAUGAUUUUAUGAUGCAAAACGCUGGUUGUCAUUUCCAAGCACAUACAUGUUAAAAGAAACAGGAAUUCCAUCAAACAACUCAAAGCACCCAGGUACAGAUAUGAUUACUAAUAGAGUUUACUCCCAGCAACGAGUAUAGGUAAUGAAUGAAAGUAGAAAACAUUUGGCAUUAACUAUGCGUGUAUAUAUUAUCUUGCACAUAAAGGCAAAUCCUAUGACUGAACCUUGGUAGGUUUUUUUGACCAUCUCUUGUAAGUAUGCUGAUGCUUGUCAAACAUUGUAUGGAACGAGUCAUAUGAAAGUUUAGUAACGAUUAUCAUCAAAAACUUAUUGCUGCUUAUAAUUAUAGUUAUACCCACCUCCUGAUAACUUGGAAUUAACAACAGAGAUUACACCUAAAAUUGGAAGAAGAUUCAUACAGGACGGCGCCACAAACUGAAGUAUGCAAGCACUACUUGAAGCACUUAGUAGAGCAGCUCCUGG